CCUGGCCACCUUAAGUGGCGUUUCCAGGAGAAAGGCUGCUCCUCUGGUAGGCUGCAAGCAUCACUUCGAUUUGUGAGUAUCGCAUGAGCCAAGACUGUCAUGAAACUAUUUGGAUACUGUACUCUGGUUCCUUCAUCUCCUCCAUCUGCAUCAGCCUAAAUUGUCCUAUUUUUAGGUUUUCUAGUUCUGUUGUGCCCUUUAUUCAAUGCAAGCCAUCAACAAGUUCCUUAAACAUAAAACUCUGUGACACUCUAAACUGCAAGACAAUGUGACAAUGAGUAUGCCAGUCUGAAAAGAACAAAGGAGCAGGGUUCAGAAGAACUGGCCUUUACCAGCUCUGUCAUUUUCCAGUGGUGUGGCCUUGCAGAGGUCACUUCAGUUUUCCAGGCUUUGGCCAAAGAAAGGUGGGGGCAGGUGGUACCUUCCCAGCUCAAGUCUUCUGGAAUAGAGCGUACGCCCAUGAAGCCCUGCACCUGUUGGAGCUUCAUAGCUGUAAUCAAGGAGCCUCUGCCAUGAACCCGGGGAUAAGUGAGGAAAGAAAUUUUUCCUCCUUCACAGUAUCAAGUGCCAGGCCAGGGCACUUUGUCCAGGCCUCACUGUGAAGAAAGAGUAAUGUUCAAGGAUGGCAGCAGGAAGGACCCUAAUGAAGAGGUUUAUCUGAUUGGUUUACUGGAGUCCUAUGUGGGAUGAAUAGCUUCAGCCUUUGCGCUUGCACCUCUUUGCUGUCCACUCCAAUCAAGAACGGGGGCCCUCGCAACUCUCUCAGUUCUGAAACAAAUUAAAUCUCAGUGACAGACUCUAUCUGCCUCGAGUUCUCCAUUAUGCUUCGCUUUAGGUUUGCUUUGGCAAUGACAAAACUGCUUUGACAUAUUUGCGGAUUCUCAGGCCCGUGUUCUCAGCUCCCCCACCUCCACCUUUCUGCUG
rnacentral:lncRNA from 1 species